rnacentral:rRNA from 1 species
AGCAGCCGCCACGGUAAUACAGAGGGUGCGAGCGUUAAUCGGAUUUACUGGGCGUAAAGCGUGCGUAGGCGGCUUUUUAAGUCGGAUGUGAAAUCCCUGAGCUUAACUUAGGAAUUGCAUUCGAUACUGGGAAGCUAGAGUAUGGGAGAGGAUGGUAGAAUUCCAGGUGUAGCGGUGAAAUGCGUAGAGAUCUGGAGGAAUACCAAUGGCGAAGGCAGCCAUCUGGCCUAAUACUGACGCUGAGGUACGAAAGCAUGGGGAGCAAACAGGAUUAGAUACCCCGGUAGUCCCUGUCUCUUAUAC